rnacentral:rRNA from 1 species
AAUGGGUCAGCGACUUAUAUUCUGUAGCAAGGUUAACCGUAUAGGGGAGCCGCAGGGAAACCGAGUCUUAACUGGGCGUUAAGUUGCAGGGUAUAGACCCGAAACCCGGUGAUCUAGCCAUGGGCAGGUUGAAGGUUGGGUAACACUAACUGGAGGACCGAACCGACUAAUGUUGAAAAAUUAGCGGAUGACUUGUGGCUGGGGGUGAAAGGCCAAUCAAACCGGGAGAUAGCUGGUUCUCCCCGAAAGCUAUUUAGGUAGCGCCUCGUGAACUCAUCUUCGGGGGUAGAGCACUGUUUCGGCUAGGGGGUCAUCCCGACUUACCAACCCGAUGCAAACUACGAAUACCGAAGAAUGUUAUCACGGGAGACACACGGCGGGUGCUAACGUCCGUCGUGAAGAGGGAAACAACCCAGACCGCCAGCUAAGGUCCCAAAGUCAUGGUUAAGUGGGAAACGAUGUGGGAAGGCACAGACAGCCAGGAUGUUGGCUUAGAAGCAGCCAUCAUUUAAAGAAAGCGUAAUAGCUCACUGGUCGAGUCGGCCUGCGCGGAAGAUGUAACGGGGCUAAACCAUGCACCGAAGCUGCGGCAGCGACACUAUGUGUUGUUGGGUAGGGGAGCGUUCUGUAAGCCU